GAGAAUUCUCAGUCCAUUUUACCUCCCAUAUAGCUCACUGCCCCGUGCUCCCUUUCCAUGCCUGCUUUCUAGGUUCUUUCUGUUAACUCAGGUGUGGCUUGGCCAGGGCUGAUUCUGGAGUGCUGUGAUCUUGAGAGAUGGAAGAUGUACGUUUUAUGAUCCCUGGCCAGGAACUAAGAUCCCACAUGCCACAGUUAACUAAGCCCACCCUGCAACCUCUGAAGCCUGUGUGCUCUGGAACUCGAGUGAUACAACUAGACAGCCCAAUGCUGCAGCUAAGACCCAACACAGCCGAACAAAUAAGGCUGAUACCUACCAGGAGGGCACACAGGAGGACACAGGAGGCUUCAGGCUGCCAACACCCCAUCAUAGGAGAA
ensembl:lncRNA